UGGGGAAUCUUGCGCAAUGGGCGAAAGCCUGACGCAGCAACGCCGCGUGCGGGAUGAAGGCCUUCGGGUUGUAAACCGCUUUCAGGAGGGACGAACGUGACGGUACCUCCAGAAGAAGCCCCGGCUAACUACGUGCCAGCAGCCGCGGUAAUACGUAGGGGGCAAGCGUUAUCCGGAUUCAUUGGGCGUAAAGCGCGCGUAGGCGGCUUGUUAAGUCAGAUGUGAAAACCGGGGGCUCAACCCGCGGCCUGCAUCUGAAACCGACAGGCUUGAGUCUGGUAGAGGAAAGUGGAAUUCCUGGUGUAGCGGUGAAAUGCGCAGAUAUCAGGAGGAACACCAGUGGCGAAGGCGGCUUUCUGGGCCACGACUGACGCUGAGGCGCGAAAGCUAGGGGAGCGAACAG
rnacentral:rRNA from 1 species